ACUGCACAGCUGGUAUCACGCACUGAUCAGUCACUGGCUGGGCACUGCUGGGGAAGAGUGUUGCCUCAGCUCAAAAGCAGAAUCGGAUCCUGAAGGACCUAAUGACUAGAAACUUCCAGCUGACUACACUCUGCAACUGACUGUUCUAUUGACUGUAGUAAUUUUAUGGAGGAGCUUUGAGGGGCAUAUAUGGGAAGAGAGAAAUUUGGAAAAUAUGUGGAGCAGGUGUACAGAACGAAUAUACAUCU
rnacentral:lncRNA from 10 species